GACGAACGCUGGCGGCGUGCUUAACACAUGCAAGUCGAACGGUAAGGCCCUUCGGGGUACACGAGUGGCGAACGGGUGAGUAACACGUGGGCAAUCUGCCCUUGACUCUGGGAUAACUGCGGGAGACUGUAGCUAAUACCGGAUACGACACCUUCGGACAUCCGAUGGGUGUGGAAAGAAUUUCGGUCAAGGAUGAGCUCGCGGCCUAUCAGCUAGUUGGUGAGGUAACGGCUCACCAAGGCGACGAUCAGUAGCUGGUCUGAGAGGAUGAUCAGCCACACUGGGACUGAGACACGGCCCAGACUCCUACGGGAGGCAGCAGUGGGGAAUAUUGGACAAUGGGGGCAACCCUGAUCCAGCAAUGCCGCGUGAGUGAUGAAGGCCUUCGGGUUGUAAAGCUCUUUCGCACGCGACGAUGAUGACGGUAGCGUGAGAAGAAGCCCCGGCUAACUUCGUGCCAGCCGCCGCCGUAA
rnacentral:rRNA from 1 species